GCACAGGACCAGGAGCUCCUGUGGGAAGUCAAUCCUGUUGAGUCUUUGAUGCUACUCAGAGCCCGGGGUGUGUGGUGAGGCAUGGAGGCAGAGCUCCUACACCUGCUGAUUUCACUUGGGAGGAAAGAAAACUGCAGAUCCUGUCGGCUUCGAUGACUGUCAGCCCCCUCAGCUACAGACAACCUCGGGCCUUUCCAUAAGCAAUAUCCACCUGGCCCGUGAAGAGACAGCUAAAGAUCUGGAGCAGAGUUGGAACCAUCCAUCUUACCUCAAGUCUGGUUCUUACUAAGGACAGCACAGCAAGUCCUUGACCCGCCCAGGCAAUCCCCUCCUCUGCAGCCCUGAGGAAUGCAGAGCCGAGGUUGCCAUGUCCUGCUGUGAGUGUCACACCCAGCACGGGUGAUGAAACCCAGGUCAGCCUACUGACCUCCAAGCCGAGGGCCCACAGGGCAGGGGCAUAAAUAUGCUUCUCAUUUUCCAUGUUUUAUGAUGUUUUGGCAUCUGGAUCCUCACUGAUCCCAGAGAGAGGCUGACCCUCCAGGGCUGGCUAAUCCCUAGACAGCAAACAACCUGCCUGGGAGCAAGCCUUUCAGGUGCAAACCAAACAGUGGGUGGGGGGCCACUUUUAUGUGACUCUCACCCACGAAGCCAGGUCUCCCACACUGAGUGACCCUCCAGUCAGGUACCAGCUAGAGCAGCCCCUGUAGCUCAGAGCCCGCCCAGCGUCACAGACCGUGUGGCCCCAAACUAGCUCAAGCUUGCCCAAACUGCACCCACUCUAUCCUGCAGAAACUACGGAAAAGCUCUGAGCCACGCUCUUGCCUCGCUCUUUCUGCCUCAUGACUGACCCUGUGCUUCCUCCUGUGGCCCUGAAUGGGUGGCACACGCCCUCCCUUUGGGAACUAUGAGUAAUAAACUUCUUUGAAAGACUGUCUCAUGUGUUUCCUUCCCAUACCUGAUAAAAACCAGCUCCAGGAACGUUUGAGAACAGCUGAGUCACGCCUCUCCCCCAGGCUUGGUACCCCUUAGGCUCUUGAUGAAGGCGACUGCUUGCUUCAUUCUGAAAUCCCCUGGCCCUUGCCUCUGAGGACACCUCUCCUGCUGCUGUGAACAGCCAAGGGAUUUGGGCCCAGCCCUCUUGCUGUUUGUCUCCAAUGCUUCCCCCGACGCAGAGGUCCUUAAACUUAUCUGCAUGUUUGAAAACUGCUGAGGCUCAUUGCCUCCCACUCUUAGAGAUUUGGGGUUCAUUGGUCUGGGGGUGUGGCCCUGGAGUGUUCAAGCUUUGCAGGUGGCUCCAGUGACAGCCAACUGAGAGCCACUGUCCUGAGGCUUCCCCUCUACCUGCAGUAGGCAGUGGGGAUGGCCCAGGACUGAGGGUCAUCCUCCCACUUCUGGGA